UACGUAGGUGGCAAGCGUUGUCCGGAAUUAUUGGGCGUAAAGCGCGCGCAGGCGGUCCUUUAAGUCUGAUGUGAAAGCCCACGGCUCAACCGUGGAGGGUCAUUGGAAACUGGGGGACUUGAGUGCAGGAGAGAAGAGUGGAAUUCCACGUGUAGCGGUGAAAUGCGUAGAGAUGUGGAGGAACACCAGUGGCGAAGGCGACUCUUUGGCCUGUAACUGACGCUGAUGCGCGAAAGCGUGGGGAGCAAACAGG
rnacentral:rRNA from 1 species